rnacentral:SRP_RNA from 2 species
GCCAGGUGUGGCGGCGCAUGCCUGUAGUCCCAGCUACUUGGGAGGCUGAGGUGGGAGGAUGGCUUGAGCUGGGGAGGCCGAGGUUGCAGUGAGCUGAGAUCAUGCCACUGUACUCCAGCCUAGGCAACAGAGCCAGACUCUGUCUCAA